rnacentral:lncRNA from 1 species
UGUCUUUAAUGGCGUCUCCAAGACCCAUAGCAUCUAAGUGGAUUCAGCAUCCAACACCAAUGUCAUAUAGUUCUUGCCCGAAAUUUCAAGGGCAAUGAACUUUCUUUUUAUAAUAUCAGACAUAAUUAAAACCAAAUUCGGAAAAAGGGAAAUACCUUAAUUUUCUCAAGAGGAUUCUUGAGACGGUAGAGUCUCGUGCUGAUACAAAAAGGAAAAAUCAAGAAAGGAGGAAGACGCACACUUCUUCUUCAUUUUAGUAUUAUAAAGUCACAUGUGUUAUGAAAUAAUAUAAGAACAAAAAUAAUAAUACAAGAACAAGAAUAAUAGAGAGAAAAAUAGAGAGAGGAGUAUUCCUAUUGAUACUUUGGGAUGGUUUACAAUGGAAUAGAACCCCUUUAUUUAUAGGGAGCUGGUGACUUAGCCACCAAGAAGUAAACCCUAAAAUCUCUCUAAAUAUAAAUAUUCACCUAAAAUAAAAUAUUUUAUAACAUCCAUUAAAUAAUUUUUGCUGAUAUUUACCUGUGUGUGAUACACCUACCCUCGGACGUGAGAUGUAUUACAUUUAGUUUUUCUCUUUUUUUUUAAUCUCUUUCUUUUUCAUUCUUCUUUGCGAUAAAUUCUCCUUUCCGCCGGCGUUACCGCCACCAUAAUCCACCUUUCUCAUCUUUUUUCAGCAAUCACCUCCUCCACGACUACCAUCGUUCUAUUUUAAGAUCUACCAUUACCGCCUCUACCACACGACUUCUUCCUCCUUUUUCGAACCAGCGCCAUCGGCUUCUGCCAUGAUUGCUGCCACAACGGAAACACCAUUCCAAUCACCAUUUUCUUCAUCUUUUUCAGAUCUCAAUUCCACCACCACUAUCUCACUCAUUCUCGUUAAUUCUGACAAUCACCACCAUUUUGCUCACCGGGAAAAUGGAGACCCAUCAUUUCCACCACUCUCUUUUCUAUCCUCCUUCCUCUCUUCUUCCAGAAAAUAUUAGACCAAAAAUUAAAAGAAACUGAGAUCAAAAUUUACAAAUGAGUUAAACCAAAAGAAAAAGAAAAAAAAUAAUAUUUUGUUUAACGACGCCGGCAUUUGGGUGUAGCAGAAGAAUAGGGAAGGGAGAGUCUUGG